CAUACAUAAGUACCUACAUAAACAAUCAAUAUAAUAAAUAAAACAAAAAAGGGCUAAAAUAGAAAGAAAACAAACAUGAGGGGGUAGUAUGCGUCACAACCACGCAAUACGGCCCUCGCUCAGCAUGAUGCUGCGACCCCGUGCGAGACAAAGUCCCAGCGCUGAUUUUCAGCGACAGCCGAAACUAACGUUAUGGCGUCCAACGGGUGAUUAUGCGAAUAUGUGUUAAAUAAAUUGUGUUUAAAUAUAUAUUAAAUAAAUAGUGUUUCUUUGAAGAAUAUAAUAGAAUAUAAUUAGUUUACUCCAUAUGAUCAAAAUACAUGUGGUCGCGCCAUUAAUUAUCUAUGCCUGUAAACCAUAGAGGUCAGUGCUGUAACUUAAACAUCUGUCAAAAACUAUUUCAGCUACUGAAAAUAAAAAUGUAUUUUUAAUGGCGACCGACGCUUUCGUACUUUAUUAUAAGAGGGUAAUAUGCUUUACAAAAUAUUGUAUAGUGUGUAUGUAUCAUACGAGAUAAGUAUCUUGAGCAACGAGUGACUAAGUUUUAUCUUAUCCCAGUUUGGGAUCGUGCGAGGUGUUAUAAAAUAUGCUUUGUCAUGACGGUGGGUACAUAAAAAUAUAUGAGGACAUAACAAAGAACACAGAUGAAGGAUAUUUGGAGCAAUAUGAG